CGGUGGUGGCACACGCCUUUAAUCCCAGCACUCGGGAGGCAUUGGCAGGCGGAUUUCUGAGUUCGAGGCCAGCCUGGUCUACAGAGUUCCAGGACAGCCAGGGCUACACAGAGAAACCCUGUCUCGAAAAACCAAAAAAAAAAAAAAAAAAAAAAAAAAGCCAAGAAAGCCAGGGUGUGGCUCCUUCACCUGGAUCAAAGCCCACAGAUCAUGUGACCCAGGGGCCUCCUCAGACAUCUGAAAGAGCCCAAGAGCCCAUGCUUCAAGAGAGCCUGUGCUUCACGGCAUCUGGCUUUGUGUUGAACUGUGAGGAACCGGUUCUCAAUCUAGCACCAGAGUAUAUCCCCAGGGAGAGACAAGGGGCCACCUGUGUUCGAAUAAGAACAGAAACAUGGCCAGCUGAAUGUCCUUGUCUCCCCUGGUAUGUACCUUGAGCCUCUUCCUUUUGACAUAUCUUUUUACUGAAAAAAAAUUUUUUUAAUUAUGUUUUCUUUGUUACAUACAAAGUAUUUAAAGGAUACUAUACCAUACUCACAUACCUACCACCUAACUUAAGAAAACCUUAUUACCAACACUCAUGUUUCCUUUGUGUUCUGACUUUCAGCCCCUUCAAGUUUCCUAACAAAAAUAACCAACAUUCUGAAUCUUGAAUUAUUUUGAAGUGUCUAUAUGUGUGCACCCUAGAAACAUUAUUUGAUUUUAUGACUUUAUCUUCUAUGCAGAUUGCAUCACAAUGUGCAUUUCCUUUGUUUGACAUGUUUACAAGGUGUGUCGCCGUUGCUGUGUCACUCGCGGAUUUUCUUUUGUUUGUGUCGGUCAGCAGUUCUCCACCCUUUACGGUGGAAUGACCCUUUCACAAGGGCGCAUGUCAGAUAGCCUCCAUAUCAGAUAUUUACAUUAAGAUUCAUAACAGUAGGGGGCUGGCAAGAUGGUUCAGCGGGUAAGAACACUGACUGCUUUUCCAAAGGUCCUGAGUUCAAAUACCAGCAACCACAUACAUGGUGGCUCACAACCACCCAUAAUGAGAUCUGACGCCCUCUUCUGGUGCAUUUGAAGUCAGCUACAGUGUACUUAUGUGUAAUAAUAAAUAAAUCUUUGGGCCGGAGCGAGCAGGGACUGAGUGAGCGGGGCUGACCAGAGUGAGCAGAGGUCCUACAAUUCAAUUUCCAUCAAGAAGGCUCACAACCAUCUGUACAGCUACAGUGUACUCAUAUACAUAAAAUAAAUAAAUCUUUAAAAAAUUCAUAACUAGCAGAAUUACAGUUAUGAAGUAUCAAUGGAAGUAACUUUAUGGUUGGGGGUCACCACAUGAGGAUCUGUACUAAAGGGUCGCAGUAUUAGGAAGGUUGAGAACCACUGCUCUAAGAUCACCUUAAAGCAAAUUCCAGGGGCUUCCUCACUAAAUUUCUAGUUACAAACCUCUAAAUCAUGAGUUUUUUUUUUUAAGUGUGAGCAUAAUAUCUUUUAAAGCUACGUUUUUAUCAUAACAUAAAAUACUACCCAUGAAGCUGUCAUCAGUGUUUUCUGUCUUACAAAGGUCUUCCUGUGUUAGUCCACAUUUUCUUCUACAUUUAAUCCUGAAAAGAAGUUGAUCUUAUUUUCUGUCACAGUGUUUCUAGUCACAUCUAGACCUGUGCUCCACUUGGGGUUCUUGCUGUCUGUUGAUUUUUUUAAAAAUGGUCUGUAGCCCAGACUGACCCCAAACUUGACGUCCUUCUCAUUCAGCUUGCCGGAUGCUGGGCUUUAGGCAUUAUAAGCUAUCGUGCCUGGCUGAUUAUCAAGUCAGAAAUCUAAUUCUUUUCUCUCAAUUUCUACUAGGUACUCAGUAGUCCAGCCUAUCCUCACUGGUAUCUGUUUGUUAUUUUUUCUGUUUGUUUGUGAUAGGAUCUCACUAUGUAUCCCUAGCUGUCCAAGAAUUCACUAUGCAAACCAGACUGGUCACAAACUCAGAGAUUUGUCUGCCUCUGCCACCCCAGCACAGAGCUGGGGUUAGAGGUGGGCACCAGCGCAGCCAUCUACUGCUGUCAUGUGUACGUGUCUAUUGCUGGGUCUCUAGUCUCUUUCAAGUAUACCCUGUGUUAGUGCCAAGGCAUCUUUUAUAAAGCUUUAAUGCCCUGUGAGCCAGUUCUCCCCACUCUUCUUGUUCAUUGAAAUCACUGUCGUAAUUCUUACUUUUUCAAGUUGUUUUUAUUCAUACACUGUCAGGUUUCAGGAGAAAGUAUAUUUUUAUUGGAGUUGUAUUCAGUUUAUUGAUUUGACUAGAGAAAAGAGGUACUUUCAUGAUAAAGUCUUCCUAUCCAUAACGGGACAUCACCACUUAUGUCCUUAAAUGUAUUUCAAUAAAUUUGUCUAAUACUUUUCAUGUUGUUUCAUCUUUUAAUAGAUUUAUUCUUAUUUACUUCAUAUUUUGGCUGCUACUAUAAAGAGUUUAAAAUUAUAUAUACAUAUGUCUAUCAGUGGCAUAAAAGAUUAUUUAAUAUGUUGGCCUACCAUUAAAUAGUGUGCUGAAUUAUC
rnacentral:lncRNA from 1 species